rnacentral:rRNA from 1 species
GUUUCACUAAGGGCUCAUAAUUAAUUGUAUGUUUCGUUUGCACUCUUUGACCCCUCUUCACGGAGCGUGUGUCUUAGAAAUUGCAGCGUGCGUACUUUUGGGUCCUGAAAGCAACGAACGUGACCGCAACCUCUUGUUGCCUUUAUUACCAAACGCAAUCUAAAGACUUCGGUCUUUGUUGCAAAAAAAGGCUUUCUAAACUAGAGGGACCGCUGUUACUUUCUUAAACCAGAGGAAGGUUGCGGCAAUAACAGGUCUGUGAUGCCCUUAGAUGUUCCGGGCUGCACACGUGCUACAAUGAUCAGUACAGUGAGCAUCUCAUUUUUUAUACACCGCAUGCGCGAGUCCAUUUAUUCACCUUCUGGGUGCUUUAAAUGUGUAUCUCUGCGCGCGGUAAAGCCUGCUUCGAAAGUAAGUGGGUAAUCAAUUAGAAGUAAUGAUUUCCUUUUUAGCACACAUAUAUACGGCAUUUAUGCCCGGGCUGCCUUGUUGUAGCUUUUGUGCGCAUAAGUGUUUUUUCCGUAUGUGCGAUUGUCAAUUCAUGGUGGGGACAGACCAUUGUUAAUUGUUGGUCUCGGUCUUAACUA